UACGUAGGGUGCGAGCGUUGUCCGGAUUUAUUGGGCGUAAAGGGCUCGUAGGCGGCUUGUCGCGUCGGGAGUGAAAGCCCGGGGCUUAACCCCGGGUCUGCAGUGGAUACGGGCAGGCUAGAGGUAGGUAGGGGAGAAUGGAAUUCCCGGUGUAGCGGUGAAAUGCGCAGAUAUCGGGAGGAACACCGGUGGCGAAGGCGGUUCUCUGGGCCUUACCUGACGCUGAGGAGCGAAAGCGUGGGGAGCGAACAGG
rnacentral:rRNA from 1 species